GAUGAACGCUGGCGGCGUGCCUAAUACAUGCAAGUCGAGCGAAUGGAUUAAGAGCUUGCUCUUAUGAAGUUAGCGGCGGACGGGUGAGUAACACGUGGGUAACCUGCCCAUAAGACUGGGAUAACUCCGGGAAACCGGGGCUAAUACCGGAUAACAUUUUGAACCGCAUGGUUCGAAAUUGAAAGGCGGCUUCGGCUGUCACUUAUGGAUGGACCCGCGUCGCAUUAGCUAGUUGGUGAGGUAACGGCUCACCAAGGCAACGAUGCGUAGCCGACCUGAGAGGGUGAUCGGCCACACUGGGACUGAGACCCGGCCCAGACUCCUACGGGAGGCAGCAGUAGGGAAUCUUCCGCAAUGGACGAAAGUCUGACGUAGCAACGCCGCGUGAGUGAUGAAGGCUUUCGGGUCGUAAAACUCUGUUGUUAGGGAAGAACAAGUGCUAGUUGAAUAAGCUGGCACCUUGACGGUACCUAACCAGAAGGCCACGGCUAACUACGUGCCAGCCGCCGCCGUAA
rnacentral:rRNA from 1 species